GCCUCAUUGGCUUAGCGGUAAAGCGUAUCACUAGUAAUGAUAAGAUCGGCGGUUCGAUUCCGCCAUGAGGCU
rnacentral:tRNA from 1 species